UGUCACUUGAAGUGGAAAACCCACUAAGAAUUAUCUCCAACUCUGCAGUUGCCCUCAUUUCUAUAUAGCGCUUUAUCGUCUUUUAGCUCAUCGUUUUCGGGAAGCUGUAUUCAGGAAAAAAGCUCUAAUCAACCCACUGUACACUACCUACCUAGCACUGAACACACAGACACAGUUGGCGACUAGCUGGUAAAGCUAGUGGAGCAUUUAGCUGCUGAACAUAUUUUUCUCAGGAGUUGGUAGAGACUAAUCCAAAGCUAAAAGAAGAGUGAAUUUAGACUUUUAUUCACCAGGUGGCUAGAAACACGACUCUAAAUGAAUUGUAAUGUUGCACUGUAUCUGCUGAAUGCUAAGUAAGCUACUACUAGCUAAAAUGCUCACCAUAUCAACUUAAUCAGGUGAUGAUAUGUCAAUGCUGUGUUUAGAGCCUGUUUCUACUGUUACUGAAACUACUGUUUAGUCCAAUAACAAACCUAUGAUGUUGUCUUUAAUGUCAGGCUCAGCCAUGUGUUUCAUCAUGUUAAAUGUACUGAAAUAUUGCUGCUGGUCCAAGAGGUUUUCUGAGAGAAAAUUCUUGACCCACAAGUCUGCAGCACAGAUGAAAAGGUUUGUUCUCACAAGUAGCGAAAGUGGUGAUCAUUUAACUACAGAAAAACCAUAUCAAACUACUUGUGAUAAAACCAGACACAUCCGUUUUUCCUAAAACAUCCCAAAAGUUCUCUUAAAUUUGCUUCUAGCCCUCAUUGGCUAACUGAUGGUGGAUAUCCAAAGGGUAAACUAUGAAUGCUGGACCCAAAAUCCAUGAGGAAAAGACCACAAUUUGUGGCUGAGGGGGAAAAAAACAGCCUAUCAAGCUCAAAGACUAUGUAGCCUAUAUAAUGAAGGUAAAUGAAAUUCUACCUAAACUCCACAUUUACUUAUACUUAAGUUUUACCUUUGGUGUCACCUUCCACAGUUAAUUGUUAUCCCAACCCAAUCCCCAGGCAUUUGUGUGUAACACUAAUACAGAAACAGAUUCCCUCAUGUGUUGUGCACAAAAUGGCCUUGCAUUACCUCCUUCAGUCCCUUAGUUCCAUUGUUUCUGCUAUUUCGAUGACUUUGCAUUGAGUUUUAGCAGGGAAUUCAAAGAACAAAUCAAGCAGAUAAGAAAGAGGUGUGAGGAAGAAAGGCUUUUUAAAGACAUACAGGAGUUGCAUAAGAUACUCCUGCAGUAUGCAUGAGGUUGCAGUGACUAGUGUGUUCAGGUCUUCAAUGGAUUCCAAUGAAAUGAUCUGCUGGUGUAUUUUACUGAUCUCAAGGCUUUUAGCCUCUGGGUGUUCACCAGUUUUAAUUAGAGCUCAAUGAUUGGAUCAAUCAACCCAUCAAUCAAUUAUUUUAACCAAUCAUUUGUAAAGUCAUUUGUUACAGCUCACCACCUUCAUCCAGUGCCAAGAGGGACGCUGCCAAACAACAACAUAAGUUAGGGUAAAAGAGCAAAGGAAAGUCAGAAGAAUAUGCUGGUGCUAUUGUGCAUACAAAUAAAUCAAAGCAAAGUUGUCAAUAUAAAAAUGCCAAUGGUAGCACCUUUUGAGGUGGACAAAGACAAAAAGACAUGCAGUCUUAUAGGGCAAUGUAGAAAAGAUCAAUAAAUGGAAUUGAAAUCUAUUGCUGAGCCAGUGGUUGGGUCAACAAUUUGGACUGAGAUCUAUGGAUCUGACUCCUUUGAAGUUGGCACACAGGGCUGCAGAGGUGGAGAUUGCGGUUUCUUCACAAUCUGUUCACUCAGUGUUUUCUGUUAACUAUUCUUCUGUUUUUGUGUGAGGCUCUGACUUAAUAUGGGCCCCCUGACCUAAUGUACCCUUCUGGACCCUUCAGGUCAUGUGGCCACUGGCAAAAAACACAUCAGACGCUCAGGAAGCUUGUAAACAAACCAAGAGUUUAGUCAGAUUAGCCCUUUAUUUUAAGAUACUCUAAAAGUGACUGAACUCAAAAUGUCUUCGAUAUUUGACUGUAUAACAACAAUAAAUAUGGUUGGUCAAAGUUGAAACAGGAAGCCACAAGACAGAAACCAUUUUGGUCGAGGGAAUAAUAAUACUGGGGGAAGGGAUAUCCUACAGUGCUAUGCUUUGCUGAUGAGCAUAAUGUAUGUUCUGGAUCUGAGCUAUCCCUAAGAACUUAGGGAGGAAUUUAACUUCUGUUAAUAUGAUUUCUUAAACUUAGGUCAUCUAUGUAGUAGAAAUGUGCAAUUAUCUUCAAAAUUGGUGCCAUAUGACUUUAGAAAACUGAGAAAAAGGCAAUAGAUUCCUCUAUCGCUUUAAAGGGGGACAUCCUACAACAACCAGAAUGCAUUGUGUGUGGUCCCGUCCAAAGCUACUGUUGGUUUGUUUAUGGAACGCAGGAGGGGAAUUCGUUUCCAGGCUUAUUUUCAUUGACAAAACAUUUUCCUUAUUGAGUCUGGUUAUAUCGUACCAGUAUGCAAGGCUAACAGCACAAUAGUGGGCCUCGUAACAGUAGCACCACAUCUGAUUCCAACAUCAUAUCAUGAAACUAGUUGUAUUCCAAGUAUACCAUGAAAUACUUACUACCUACCAGUAGGUGAAAGGAUGACUUAAAUGGAAUAGAGAGAUAACACAUUGUGUUUAGGAGAGACCUAUACACUGUUUUUACAUAUGAAAUAAUUAUAGGGUUCAGACAGGGGCCACACAAGUAUAGCCUUUGUCCUUUAAUACAUUAUAAAAAAGAGCCAAACUUUAUGCAGAACUAGGUCCUUUUCUUCUAGAGUUUUCUUUAUAUUCUUCUUUAUGGCUAUAUAUCUUUAUAGCUAUAUUUAUAAAAGCACACUCUUCUUCCUGUGAUUGCCACACCACACACUAAUUGCAUUGUUUGUUCUAAAAGAUGUUGUCUUUGUUUUUUAACCUUUAUUUAAUCAGGGAAGAUUCACUGAGAGGAAGCUCCUGUUUUUCUGACACUGAUGAAAUUAAUUAAUUUAUGUUUGUUCAAUGACAACAAAGUUUAACAAACCUUUUUAAACUGCUCAUUUUCCCAGAUGAAGAAUCCCUUACGUUGGCUAUUAAAGAGUAGUAAACAAGAUAAGUACUGAGCAAGACAUUUUAUGGUUAAAAAGUAACCUGAAAGAAAAAAUACCAGGAAAUUUUUUAGCACUACAUGUUACAAAAAAUGUUAAAUGUAUGUUUAAACAAAAGAAGAAGUUUUCUGUGUGAAAUGUUACAUUAUGGAUGGUGGGAGGGACUGUAGAUAACAGACAAAGGAGAAGAAUGUUUUGGUGUGUCUUAUUUACUACUUCGUGAUUUUUGUCUGUUUUGUGAGGCUUCCUCAUUAUUAUUCUUUGGAAAUUCUUGGAGAUGCAAUUACUUUGAUUCCAUCACCCUAAAAUGUGGUCAGAUCACUGAACAAGUGCAGACGAAUCAGUUACCCGAAUCAUCAUCAUGCAAGUCCACUGUUACAACAGCUAUUAUCCCUUCAACAGCCAUCCAACAACUGCAUAACUUUACUAAAUGCACAGUUAUUUUCGAAAACAGCAUAAUCAUUUUGACAUUUAUUAAUUCAGUUCCAUAGUGCCUAAGUAAACAGCCCAUUUCGGAUGUCUUUUCGGCCAUUUUUCCUCAUUGCUGUACAGUUUUUAAUAUUUAAAUUUAUAAUGUUUCAUUUUGUUUUAUUCAUUAUCAUUCAUGUGUUCUACUGUAAUUUGUGAUUUGCACCCUCAUUUGUUCUACAUGAAUAUAUAUUACUAUUUUUACUUGCAUUUGAAUAUAUAAAUAGUUUUCAAAAUCAAAAUGUGCAUAAUAUUCUAAUAUGCUCUCAAUGUUUAUGAUUGAAGGUGUUCUUAGUUUCAGAGCUUGACAUUAAAGCCUGGAUAGUAGUUUGUAAUUUAAUUUUCUUGAUAAAUGUACUGUGGCUGUUCUUCGCCUUCACAGCUUUCAGCUCUAAUCUUCCCCAUAUUUACAUUGAGUAUAUAUAUAUGUUGUAUACACUGAAUUUGUAAUAGAGACAAACCUCAAAUAAUGUGAAAUCUUUGUGAAUGUUUCUGGCGUCUUUCUGAUGUGAGCACAUAUGGACAAAGAGGAAGCUGCCCACAUGGAAGUGGUUGGUUGGCAGUGAGUAUAUAACAACCUGUGUGUUUCACAGCUGUAUCAUACUCUUCAGUUCAUCAGCCAUGGACAGUAGUGUGCUGCUGGUUCUGUUGUGUCUGCAGGCUUUUCCUGCUCAUCACAGCCUUCACUUCUGUAGAUGCAGCCGCUCUGGUGACAGAUGAUCCACAACACCAAUCUCUUGAUUUGGUAAGAAGAUCCACUGCUGGAAGCUGACUGCAAGGAGCUUUUCUUGAGUUGUAAGAAGAUUUGUGGUUCACAUGUGGUAUUUUCCAAUUGGACUGUUAAGUUGUGAAUGUCAAACAUGUUGCUGAGACACAGCUGCAAAACAAAAGGUUUUAAUUGUUUUUAAAUUGCAGCAAUUCUAUUAUUAAUUGGGAAAUUACAAAUAUAACAAUUAUGGCAAAACACUGGAAGAAGGUUGUCUGAAAUAAUGCAUUGUGUAUUCUAAUUUUCUCACAGGAAGGAAGUGUGUAAAAAAAGGAAUCGGAAAGUUUACAGUUCUGACCAGGAAAAACUGUAGGCAAAUUCCACGUUUAGCCCGCCCUAAUGACCUUAACAUUAGUGAUUAGCCUAAUAGAUAACUUAAUGUUAUUGCUGAUAAGGAGACAGAAAGGUAAUUGCUAACCUUACAUCUUUUUAUUAGUCUUUUCAUUAAAGUGGCCUCAAAUUAAACGUUUAGCCUGACCUAAUGCCCAAAUGUAGAGCUGAAUACAAGCGAACUAGCUAACGUUAACCUUAAUUUCAAACAGAUCAAGAAAUCUGAAAACGUGCCUCAGCAAUGCUGAGUGGUUUCCCUGCACUGCCCCAUCCAUAAAUAGGACCAACCAUGAAUUGAUGGUAAGAGCUAUGGGUUGUCUUCUGAUAAACCCCAUAUACAUCAAUGUCUUCCUUCAAAUUCUUUUAAGCUUCCAAGCUUUUUUCCUAGCUUUAAACUGAGGCUCAUCUGACAACACAACAACAUAUUGUCCCAUUAUCCAUAGUGGGUACUGUGAUAUGCCUAUACAAACUCUUCAAUGUUAGUAUUCAACCAAGAGGACAUAUUUCAUUUGGUCUUUUAAAAUAACAUCUUGUUGCCUUUGUGUUGAAGUACUUCUUACCAAAGGAUUAUCAGUACCAUGUAUGUAGGUACAAAGCUGUGAGCCAAUCCUGCAGUGACCAUAUCAGUUUUGAGGCCAUAGUGUGGAUGUCCCUUCAACCAAAGGAGGAGGACCCGGUGUGGCUGAAGUCCAUGGCAGUUACAUGGAGAGUGGCCUACACCAGGCCCACUAAAGGACAGAAGAUCAUCUUCAAAACUGAUGGAUGAAGCCGUGGAUGACGAUCAUUUGGGUUCACGUGGUGGUUGUCAGGCAUGAUAGUAUGCCCCAUCCAACGAAGAUGUUUUUUGGCACUGCUGCUUCCACACAGAUGGAGUUGGUCAUGGAAAGAAUCUUAGUAUGGGGAAUUCAAUCUUCCCAAGACAGACCAAGGAUCUUUUGAAGGCAUCGGAAGUGGAAGACCUCCAAGUUUGUGAUAUGCCGUCUGUAUAGGGUCCAUGUUUCUGCCCCAUAGAGCAGAGUGGAGGCACAUACUGCAUUGUACCACAGAAACCUUGGUGCUGACCUUCAGGCUUUUGUUUUCGAAAACCCUUCUGCAGAGGCGCCCAAAGGCUGAUGAGGCUUUGCUGAUGCAGCUGUUUAUUUCAAUGUCAAGGGAACAGUCUGGGAAAAGUGUGGAACCAAGCUACUCUGUCAAUCCCUGCUGUACUGCAAAGAGGACAUCCUGGGCUUUCUAGUGAUAUGUCAUGUGUGAGUGGUAUGCUGGGAAAUUCCACUUUCUUUUCAUUCAAAAUGGACAGCAUAGCAGCAAGCGCAUUUUAUGGAAAUAGGAGUGGAGACAGAACUGAAGCAGAGAGGAUUCUUUACUGGAUAGCUGAGGUAAAUUCAGAUUUGGUGCUGUCAGAUGAUGAGAUAGAUGAGGAUGAGUUUGAAGAAGAUGGUGAAGAAGAAGAGGAAGAAGAUUCAGGAGGCUCAGGUGAGCAGACAGAUACAGACACAGAGACAGACAGGGACGAGCAGGAAAGACGUCGUCAACUGUGGAGCAGGAGUAGCAUGUAGGUUUUAUUUAGUUCCAGGGUAAUAUAUUCAGUUCCAGUAAUUAGCCACUAUCGAUAAUCAUGGUAACAAAAUACUAUAAAUUACAGUUUUACAGUAAAUGGUUGAUUAAAUGUAAUGUAAUCCCCAUGAUGCAGACAUAUUGCUAUGUGUCGGUUAUAUUUAUCAGUGAUCCUUGAUGUUUGAAGAUUUCCAAAGUGGUGUCAUGAAAUUUAUACGCAUUUCCUCAAGAAUGCAAUGUUUGUGCUUAUGAGUAUGGUCAAUAGGGGACCAUAUCACAUCCAUAACACUGGAAUUAUCCCAGUGAUGCACUAUUACAUGACUGUAUUUAAUCCAAAAAGAGUUGUGUAAGAUUUAAUUAUUAUUCCUACUUACACUUGUGCUAUCUGGGCUUCCUGAGUGUCAAGAUAACUCUACAACCCGUGCAGACUAGAGUCCAAUUCAGUACUUUUCCCAGUACAUUGACAACAAAGUAUUUGAAAAUUUGGCAGCAUUCACAAAUCAAAGAGAGAAAAAUGUCAAGGGAUAGGUUCUUCAAGCUGAGAAGCUCCCUCAAGAUUGCUGAUGAUCUGGAUGUAACAGAGGAAACAAAGAAGGCAGACAUUCUUUGGAGAGUCAGGCCAUUACUUGACCGCAUCAGACAAGGUUGUCUCAGCCUUCCAAAGUCUAAGAAGGUCUGCACUGAUGAGCAAAUCAUCCCUUUCACAGGCCGCUGUCCAGCCAGGCAAUAUGCUCCAGGCAAGCCAAACCCUACUGGCCUAAAGGCCUUUGUCCUUGCAUCUCCAAAUGGUCUGAUGGUGGAUUUCGAAGUGUACCAAGUAGAAGAAUACAGAAGAAGAAUACAUUCAGGGGCCAAAGAUUGGGCGUUGGAGCAGCAGCAGUCCUACGCAUGGUUGAAUCUGUUCCCACAGGAAGUCACCUAUUCUUUGACUGAUUCUUCACAACAAUCGAUCUCAUGGAUACUUUGCUCGCAAAGGGCCUUCCAGCAACUGGAACCAUAAUGAAGAACCGAGUCCCAAAGCAGUGUCAGCUGCCAGGAGACAAGCAGUUGCAAAAAGAGGGGAGAGGAGCAUCAGUGUUGGCAGUCAGAAAGAGUCCUGAGCUGGCAAUCACAAAAUGGUCUAACAACAAACCAGUGCUGAUGGCUUCCACUGUGCAUGGGAAAGAUCCUGAAGAUAUCUGCAUCAGAUGGUCCAACAAAGAAAAAGCCAUGUCCAAGUAAGGAGACCAACAGUGAUCAGACAGUACAAUGACAACAUGGGUGGCGUGGACCUAUGUGACCGCAUGCUGAGCUUUUAUCGCUUGUCAAACAGGACCAAGAAAUGGAAAUCGCGUGUGAUUACUCACUUCUUUGAUGUUGCCAUCACAAACUCCUGGAUCCAAUACAAGUCUGACAGCAAAGCACUUAACAGACCAGCAAAGAACACCGAACAGUACCUGGACUUCAAAUUGCACCUGGCUGAAGAGCUGUCGGAUAGUCCAGAACAUGAUGACAGCAGUGAAGACAGUGAAGAAGAGUAUGAGCCACCAACCAAAAUGUGGAUCCCACAACCAGAGCCAUCUGUGCGCAGACUAGGAGCCAUGCAUAUGCCAGAGAUGGUGGAUAUCAAGCAUGCAGAAAGAUGUAGAAAUAAGGGCUGCAAAAGUAAGACAUACAUGAGGUUUACCAAAUGCAAGAUGUUUCUCUGCAUUACCAAAAAGAGAAAAUGCUUCCAGGAUUAUCACUGCUAAAAAUAAAACAUGCAAAAGAAGAAAUGAAGAAUGAAGAACAACACAAGAUUGAAUAGGUUUGACAAAUAACUAAAUCACAAUAAAAAUAAAUAUAUCUGUUCUACUUUAGUUCUAUUGUUCACUGUUCAAUUAAACACACUUAAAGGACUAAAGAAUGAUAAAUAAUUUUGUUUUUUAAUAAAGUUGAAUGUAUUCUUGGUUUAAUAUCACUCCACAGCCAUAAUCUGUUCAAUUUUUUAUCUUUUAAGUUUGUCUUUUCACACUAAAAUGGUCCUGUGGUCCACUACAGUGGACAUGCAAUAAAAUUAGAAAUAAAAAUAAAUAUUAAAGUCUAAA